CAGUUAGUUUAGCUGCGCUGUUCUGUAUUAGUAGUUAUAUAUCAGCCAAGUUUGGCGCUACCUGAGUGAAGUUGGCCGAGUCCAGGCUCUAGCGAUGCACCUCCAGAGACCGGGUUUAACCCCAUCCUAAACCCUCCUGUACCCUACCCCGCCCCCGACACUGCUUUCAAAACCCCCCGAUAAUCCAAAUCCCAGACAGAACUUCAGGAUAUGACGGAAAACUGAAGAUGGCCGUGGCACGCACACCGAUCCGCACGUCCAAUAAACAGGCGCCGGUCCGCUAGAUAGUAACGCCCCGCAGCCGCGCUUUUAUAUAACCCACCCGCAUUCCGGCAGGCCCUGCCCAGUGCGCUGCGAUUGGCUGGUAGCUCAUACGCUCAACGGCUCAUACGCUCUAACGCUCCCUUGCAGGCUAAAAGCUAAAAAUAAACCAAUCAGUGCUGUAGAGUGCUGCAGACUCGAAACUACUGACAAAUCACCGUCCAGGAAUGGCUUAAUCAGAAUACGAGUGGGAUUAGAAAAUCAGCGCGGUAUAUGUGUUCUGCUCAGUGAGCCUAAAGGAGGAUCGCGUAGCACCUCUGUCCUUAAGGGCAGCCAGGAGGCUGCAUCGCACUGCCACUGGCCCGCAUGUUCCGCUGUGCUGGAGCCAGCUUGAGGGUACCAGGCUUCAGGGCUUGAGGUCCCACAUGCGUGACGCACUGGCGCACAGAUAUAUCAACUGAUCGAGUGCCUGCUGAUCAAGUGAAAAAGGAGCUCAUGAGGAAGGCCAGGCCAAUACACAGUAUUUUACAAUGCUGUUCACUUCCCUGCUUCACUAUGUGUUAAGCAGUGUUAAGCACUGCAAUAACUAUAUUACUCCCUUUCAUGUAAUGGUCAAGGAGGUCAUUUUAAAGGACUUGGAACUACUCCCUGUUCAAAAA
rnacentral:lncRNA from 1 species